UGGAAUCAGCCUGUAGUGUAGCCUGCGUGAAAGUGCUCUGCUGUGACAGCCUGUGGGUUCUGGGGUCCAGCUGAGUCAGUAUGCCUGACAGCAAGCACCUUUACCCUCUGAAUCAUUCUUUACU
ensembl:miRNA Gm27833 predicted gene, 27833